ensembl:ncRNA F13B12.13 ncRNA
CACAGAUAGGUUGAUAAGUGAUUGGACCGGGAGGAUGGCAUCGAGGAGCACACUUGUCAUGAAACACUUGUUCGGCCGUCCGUCCUCCCGGCUAGUUUGUGACCAAUUUAUCAUUGAAAUCUGUGAGAAUGCAUAGAGAUUUUGAGGAAAAACCAAUAGAAUAGUGAAUACAAAUCACGAUAAAAAAGUUCAAAGACAAACACAUUUUAUUCAAGA